UACAGAGGGUGCGAGCGUUAAUCGGAAUUACUGGGCGUAAAGCGCGCGUAGGCGGCUUUGCAAGUCGGGUGUGAAAUCCCCAGGCUUAACCUGGGAACUGCAUUCGAGACUGCAUUGCUAGAGUAUGGGAGAGGGAAGUGGAAUUUCCGGUGUAGCGGUGAAAUGCGUAGAUAUCGGAAGGAACAUCAGUGGCGAAAGCGACUUCCUGGACCAAUACUGACGCUCAUGUGCGAAAGCGUGGGGAUCAAACAGG
rnacentral:rRNA from 1 species